UACGAAGGGGGCUAGCGUUGCUCGGAUUGACUGGGCGUAAAGGGCGCGUAGGCGGCUCGCGAGGUCGGGGGGUGAAAUCCCGCAGCUUAACUGCGGAAGGGCCUCCGAUACCGGCGGGCUGGAGGAAGGUAGGGGUGCGCGGAACUUCUGGUGGAGCGGUGAAAUGCGUUGAUAUCAGAAGGAACGCCGGCGGCGAAAGCGGCGCACUGGACCUUUUCUGACGCUGAGGCGCGAAAGCUAGGGGAGCAAACGGGG
rnacentral:rRNA from 1 species